CAGUAAGUUUCAAAACACUUUAUAGGUUGCAAAGAACUGAAAAUUGUCAUUUGUUGUGUUUGCAGCAUAUUUACUGAAAUCAAAAGCUAUUUCAAUCAAACUUAUAACAACAUUUUAACUUUUUAAACAUUUUAACAGGUCACAUUACAUUUUAACAUUUGACCCGUUAUAUGAUAGCAGCUUCACAAGUCUUGCAUCCAUUGAACUUGUGAGUUUUUGGACAGUUUCUGCUUGAAUUUGUUUGCAAGAUGUCAGAAUAGCCCCCCAGAGCUGCUGUUUGGAUGUAAACUGCCUCCCACUCUCAUAGAUAUUUUGCUUGAGGAUGUUUCAAAGGUUCUCACUAGGAUUGAGGUCAGGGGAGGAUGGAGGCCACAUCACGACUUUCUCUCCUUUUAUCCCCAUAGCAGCCAUUGAUGCAGAGGUAUUCUUUGGAGCAUGAGAUGGUGCAUUGUCAUGCAUGAAGAGGAUUUUAUUACGGAAAGCAUAGUUCUUCCUUCUGUACCAGGGAAGAAAGUGGUCAGUCAGAAACUCCACAUACUUUGUAAAGGUCAUCUUAACACCUUUGGGGACCCUAAGGGGGCCGACCAGCUCUCUUCCUAUGAUUCCGGCCCAAAACAUGACUCCACCUCCGCCUUGCUGACGUCGCAGCCUUGUUGGAACAGGGUGGCUUUCCACCAACCAUCCACUACGCCAUCCAUCAAGUUCAGCAUAUAGCUCAGCUGUACCGCUUUCAGAACGCCUGGCUUCUGGAUAGGCUCCGCACCCUUGAGCGGUACAGCUGUGUUAUAUGCUGAACUGGAUGGCAC